rfam:Candidatus Sungbacteria bacterium RIFCSPHIGHO2_02_FTLL_49_20 rifcsphigho2_02_scaffold_99625, whole genome shotgun sequence.
GGCCCCAUCGUCUAAUGGUCAGGACAUAAGCUUUUCAAGCUUAGUAUCCGGGUUCGAUUCCCGGUGGGGCCA